AUUGCUUUAGUUUAAGAAAAAUGGCGAAUUGCAAAUUCGAAGAUAGAGUAGUCUGAGCAAAU
rnacentral:tRNA from 1 species